rnacentral:rRNA from 1 species
AUUGAACGCUGGCGGCAUGCCUUACACAUGCAAGUCGAACGGUAACGGGCCUUCGGGUGCCGACGAGUGGCGAACGGGUGAGUAAUGCAUCGGAACGUACCUUUCAGUGGGGGAUAACGUAGCGAAAGUUACGCUAAUACCGCAUAUUCUGUGAGCAGGAAAGCAGGGGAUCGCAAGACCUUGUGCUGAUUGAGCGGCCGAUGUCAGAUUAGCUAGUUGGUGAGGUAAAGGCUCACCAAGGCGACGAUCUGUAGCGGGUCUGAGAGGAUGAUCCGCCACACUGGAACUGAGACACGGUCCAGACUCCUACGGGAGGCAGCAGUGGGGAAUUUUGGACAAAUGGGGGCAACCCUGAUCCAGCCAUGCCGCGUGAGUGAAG